rnacentral:rRNA from 1 species
UACGUAGGGUCCAAGCGUUGUCCGGAAUCAUUGGGCGUAAAGCGCGUGUAGGCGGCCCGGUAAGUCCGCUGUGAAAGUCCAGGGCUCAACCCUGGGAUGCCGGUGGAUACUGUCGGGCUCGAGUCCGGAAGAGGCGAGUGGAAUUCCUGGUGUAGCGGUGAAAUGCGCAGAUAUCAGGAGGAACACCAAUGGCGAAGGCAGCUCGCUGGGACGUGACUGACGCUGAGACGCGAAGGCGUGGGGAGCGAACGGG